AGCCAGACUCCUACGGGAGGCAGCAGUGGGGAAUAUUGCACAAUGGGGGAAACCCUGAUGCAGCGACGCCGCGUGAGCGAUGAAGUAUUUCGGUAUGUAAAGCUCUAUCAGCAGGGAAGAAGAUGACGGUACCUGACUAAGAAGCCCCGGCUAACUACGUGCCAGCAGCCGCGGUAAUACGUAGGGGGCAAGCGUUAUCCGGAUUUACUGGGUGUAAAGGGAGCGUAGACGGCGAUGCAAGCCAGAUGUGAAAGCCCGGGGCUCAACCCCGGGACUGCAUUUGGAACUGUGUGGCUGGAGUGUCGGAGAGGCAGGCGGAAUUCCUAGUGUAGCGGUGAAAUGCGUAGAUAUUAGGAGGAACACCAGUGGCGAAGGCGGCCUGCUGGACGAUGACUGACGUUGAGGCUCGAAAGCGUGGGGAGCAAACAGGAUUAGAUACCCGCGUA
rnacentral:rRNA from 1 species